CCUUUUCUCUGUUCUUCACUUCUGUCUCUACUAAGGAUCAUCGUCUCCUUCUCUUAACCAACGACACCCAAAUCGUUGGCUCACAAGGAAGAGGGGAGGAAUCGCCAUGAUCGAAUUCUAUGGUGAAGAAUAUGAAAUUAUCUCUUCAGUUUGCUGCUAGCUUUUGGAACUUGGAAUAGCAAGCGGGGUGUUUGGGUUGAUGUUGGAUUAACGUCGUUUGAAUUGGGUGCUUGUGCGUUUGGAGUUAGCUUGCUUCUAUUGGAGAUUUUAGCUGCUGGUUUCCAUAGAUUGAGAAAUGUGGUUGUGCUGGUCAUAAAUCCAGAAUCGUCUUGAACAGAGUCCCUGCUAAGUUCAGUUUUGCAUGUGGAAUAUAUGUUGGCUGUUGGUUUUCUGCUGCUGUUAUCUUGUGGAUUAUGUGUCAGUAUGCGUAUUUGUUUGAGAAGGUGGUCUUUUGUUAAGAUUAUGGUAUGAAGGUGAAAGCUUACUGACCUGAGUUAAUCUACUGUAAGUUUUGAUACCAAAUGUGAUGGUUCUUUUAAAAAAGUAUCUUUCAUGUUUGUAUAAAAUGUAAAGUUGUAUUCAGCCUUCUUGAUAGCCGGUUUUACUGUUCAUGUGUAUCUUUGAAAGAGAUUGAACUUGAAAUGAAGUUGUCUUUAAAAAUUCUGUUGUUCCUUUUGUAUCUUUGAGGAGAACUAAACCAGGAAAAGAAGCUAUGUUUAAAAUUGUAUUUGAACUUUUGUGUAUUACUGUUAGGCUACUGUACAAUGCAAAUGAGUUUUGGAAAAGCAAGUAUUAUUCAUUAUAUUUUGUUUACAGCUUUGGUUUACGACUUGUGUUUCUUGAGAUGUCUAACUCUCUCAUAUUUCAUCUCCUUGUUUUCAUCAGAAUGAUUCUUACUUCCUCCAAUAUGCCAACGCAGCCAAAGUUUUGGUUAUUUAGUUAUGAUGUCUUGCUUAUUUCCAAGUUUUGAAAAAUAAAUAAAUAAAUAAAAAAAAAACUUAUCCACCAAUCUUUCUUUCGAUUUAAUCCAUCACAUUAGUCAUACCCUAAGGUCAGGGUGUGACAGUUGCUAACAACACAAGUUAGUACCAAACAUAACAAAAACUACUACCAAGCAUAACAAAAGCUAUUGUGACCAGUAACAAAAGCUACUAUCACUCUCGACAAAAGCUAUUGCAAUCGAGAGAAUAUAACAAAUUUAAUGGUACAAACAAUAUGAUGCCUUCUACAAUGAUAAUUAUGUACAAAGCUACUUCCGUAAUUACAUAAAGCUACUACUUUAGUUCUGGAUAUCUACUACAAUAGUUGUAUGAAGCUACUAUUAUUAUUUUAUGGUGAUGCUCAAUUUCUCCACCUUGAGCACGAUUUUCUUGGUUGACCGAAUGAUCUCUAAGGAGGUUUCAAUAUCCAACUUCACAUGAUUUUCGAAAUCUAAUAUUACAAAUGAAAGGGUAAAAAUAUGCAAGAACAAAGAAACAAACAAAUAUUAGUAUUUGAAAUGAAAAUAGAAGCUAUUGAUAUCGCAUUGAAAAGACACUACCCUAAUGUUGAAAAGCUACUACCCCAAUGUUGAAAAGAUACUAUCACAAAAUAAGAAAGCUACUCUAAUGUUGAAAAGAUACUAACACAGACGUAGAAAGAUACUACCACACCGUCAAAAAGAUACAGAAUAACACAGACAGAAAGAUACUACUACAUUGUCAAAAAAAUACUAACAUAGACAUAAAAAGAUACUAUAACUAUGUUUAAAGCAUCAUACAAUACAAAAACUACUGACAUCAUGUAAAAAGCUACUAACAUAGAAUGGUAAAAACACUAUAUAUAACAGUUGUAGAAAGCUACUGAAUGUAAUCAAAAAGAGCAAACAAAGACAAUGACAAAAAAUGGCAAUGACACAAACACAGUCGACAUAGAAUUCUUAUAGUGUCAUAGUUGGAGAUAGACAGCAAAUCAGAUUCACUGUAUAUACAGCAAAUCAAGACUUUAAUCAACACUCAACAAAUGAAAUUGGAGAUAGACAGAAAAAUACAAGAGACAAAAACUCAUAUCAUACCUUGGAAACAUUUGGCCUCCCUAAAUGAAGAACAUCAAUGACUUGUAUAAAAAAACAACAAAAAUCAAACUCAAUCCUAAUCAACUACUACAA